CAUGGUUUUUGGCUAAUAAAGUCAACGAUGCAGGAAAACCACCUUAAAUAGCGACUCUCAGCUCUUCAGUCUCACCCAGCAUCCGGCCAUUUCUUCACUCCACCAUGGCGACCUGCUCCUUCAUGUCUUCAUGUCCUCUGAUAGCAUCAUCAAGAUGCAAUUGGGCUUCCUGAAAACAACAGAAUGAAAAGUUAUCUUUCCAGCAUCAUGACUCUCUGCUCCCAGCUUGUUGACCUGAGACCCAGCGAUGUCAGCACGCCUCCAGCUCA